CAAGCCAUUAAACGAAGGUGAUGCUGUUGGAACGCAGGCUAGUUUUAGGCCACACUAAACACCUGAGCUGGCCAAGGGCCUUGAAACUCUUGGAUUUCAUCAAAUACAUCUUAAUCUGUCUUCUGAAGAUGAACGAAAAAGUCUUACAGGAUUGGAACGACAUGAGGGUAAAUGUGACGUUAUGAUAUUGUUUACAAGCUGUUAUACUGACAUCUUUCCAUGGUUGAAACACUGAUUGAGUGAUAUACAUGAGACAAGAUACGGAUUUCGCGAGGAAGCACCAAGGGAGAAAUAAGGAAGCAGUUAUGUGGAGUGAUCUUUACCCAUCCAUCCUGAGGGGCCAGUGCUGUGAUGAAGGAAUGAAUAAUGAAUAUAUCAGAUGAGGAAAGAGGGUAAAAAUGAUAAAGGGAUACCCCAGACUGAAUAAUUAUCUCCAUGCACUCCCGUUUAGACUUGUCUAGGAGUCAGACAACCAUAUAUAGCUUUUCUCAGAGGUAUUACAACAGGCCAAAGUCUCUCACUCUCUAAGAACAUGCUUCACUUUUACUACAGUUGUUGUUUACUGUUGUAAAUCUAAUAUUAACAUGCCGAACAUCUGUGACUGAACACCGCUGUUACUUGCAUAAGUUAUUUUAUACCAAUAAUACUCCACCAGUCAAAAGUUUGGACACAACUGGUCUUUAAAAUGAGUAGAAAAAUAAUAGCUGAUUUUCGACCAGCUAGUAAGGACAAAACAGUAAUGGUGAAGUGUUGUGACUGCAAAGAGUCAUAGCUUUUAUAGUUUAGGUGACUUUUUGAAAUUAUUUGUCUUCAUAAAUGUCUAAAGUAGUAAUAAAAAGUAAUGACUAGGUGUUUCCAAACCUUUCACUGGUAGUAUUAACUUUUCUUCUCUGAGUUGUAAAACUACUCACAUUAUUGCUUGUAUCUGCUCUUUUUCUUCUUGCUCAUGUUGUCUUCAAUGAAAUUAAUGAGACCUGAGAGCAACAAGAACUUCAUAUUACUAUUAUUCAUUACCCAACAGAACUCCACUUUCUUUUAGACCAAACAAAGCGCAUUUAUGAGUAUUGAGGUGUUUCAUGUCGACAUCAGAAGAUUUAAAA